AUGAGCUCUCUCCUCCCCAAGCUGGGGGAGCUGCUCAAGGAGGAGUAUGACCUGCAGAAGCGUUUGAAGAAGGGGAUCAAGGAUCUGAAGGAUGAGCUCCUGGUCAUACAAGCUGCGCUCCUGAAGGUGUCCGACGUGCCACUAGACAAGCUUGAUCCGCUUGUCAAAAUUUGGGCAAACGAUGUCAGGGAGCUGUCCUAUGCCAUCGAGGACAGCCUUGACUCCUUCAUGGUGCGUGUUGAAGGUUUUGAGCCUACCAAGCCACACACCUUCUUCGGGUUCAUCAAGAAGACCUGCAAGAAGGCCACCAAGCUCAAGAUUCGUCGCAAAAUAGCCAACGACAUCAAUGACGUCAAGAUACAAGUUAGGGAGGUGAAGCAGACGUAUGACAGAUACAAAGAUGUUAUUGGUAAUACCAAUGCCAGAACGGAAGUCGACCCACGUCUCUUGGCCAUGUACACCAAAGUAUCUGACCUUGUUGGCAUUGAAAAGUCAAUCGAUGAGCUAACACGGAGGUUAUGUGAUGGCGAUGAUCUGUCCGUUUCGGUGGGUCACAAUGCUGACAUGAAAAAAGUUCUCAGGGACAUCCUCCAUGAUCUUGACAAGAAAAAAUAUAAGGACAUCACUGCAUCAAAAAUGGAUGUAAAACAGCUCAUCGAUGAGGUGCGUGGAUUUCUUGGGGACAAGAGGUAUGCAUUUAAUCCCUACUCCCACCCCACUAUGUGCUACUCAAUACAUACCAUAACAUGGGACAUUAUAAAGUGUGCUUUGGUGGACAGCAACUAUGAACGUAGAAUAAUCACAACUACCCGUAAUGCUGAAGUUGCUGAAAAAGUUGGUGGCAUUUACAACAUCAAACCGCUUUCUGAUGAUGACUCAAAAUGCUUAUUCUAUACAAGAACACGUGGUGGUGAAGGAGUAUGUCCAGAUAACCAACCUGCUGAAGUGACUAACAAAAUUUUAAAGAAAUGUGGAGGUGUGCCAUUAGCUAUCAUUACAAUAGCUAGCUUGCUUGUUGGAAAUCAAAGUGACGAUUGGUCUAAGGUGUAUGAUGCCAUCGGUUUUGGGAAUGAGCACAACGCAGCUGUUCAGAACACAAGAAAGAUACUAUCUUUUAGCUAUUAUGAUCUGCCUUCCAAUAUGAAGACAUGCCUAUUGUAUCUAAGUAUGUUUCCAGAAGAUUGCUUUAUCGUGAAAAAAUUACUGAUAUGGAGGUGGGUCUCGGAAGGUUUUGUC
rnacentral:rRNA from 1 species